rnacentral:rRNA from 1 species
AUUGAACGCUGGCGGCAGGCCUAACACAUGCAAGUCGAGCGGCAGCGGGGGGAAGCUUGCUUCCUCGCCGGCGAGCGGCGGACGGGUGAGUAAUGUCUGGGAAACUGCCCGAUGGAGGGGGAUAACUACUGGAAACGGUAGCUAAUACCGCAUAACGUCUACGGACCAAAGUGGGGGACCUUAGGGCCUCACACCAUCGGAUGUGCCCAGAUGGGAUUAGCUAGUAGGUGGGGUAAUGGCUCACCUAGGCGACGAUCCCUAGCUGGUCUGAGAGGAUGACCAGCCACACUGGAACUGAGACACGGUCCAGACUCCUACGGGAGGCAGCAGUGGGGAAUAUUGCACAAUGGGCGCAAGCCUGAUGCAGCCAUGCCGCGUGUGUGAAGAAGGCCUUCGGGUUGUAAAGCACUUUCAGCGAGGAGGAAGGGUGGUGUCUUAAUACGGCAUCACAUUGACGUUACUCGCAGAAGAAGCACCGGCUAACUCCGUGCCAGCCGCCG